UCGAUUUUUCCUAUUAUUUGUCUUUUUAAGUUUAAAAAAAAAUUCUGUUUAAUGUUAUAAAACAUUUCAUGUUUGUAAAAGUAUUUAAAUAUAGCAUUAUAUGCAGUGAAAAAUUAAAAAUCUCUUACUUCCUCUUUUGCUUUUCUAAAGUUUUAAAUUCUGAAAUGUUAGUAAGUGAAUUUAUAAUUUUCAUCACAGUAUGAAAAUACAGGACACUCCUGUGCUAGUUUAGGAAACAGUUGGCUGCAGUGACAGCAUACCCAACCAACAGGAGCUUAAAUCGUAAGGAUAUUUAUUGUUAACAAGAAUGCAGGAGGGUAGGUCCAGACUUUGUUCACCUGACUCAGUGGUGUUACCAGGAAUCCAGGGCUUUACUGUCCUUAACAUGUUGGUUUCUUAUGCUUUUGCUUAUCUUAGGUUUUUGCUUGCCGCCUCAUGGUUAAAGAGGGAUGAUUGCAGCCCCGGGCCUUAUUUUCCUCAUGCCAGUGUACUUGGCAAAAACUGUGAGGCGGGGACAAAAUGUCUUCCUGUAUGGCUCUUUUUUUUAUGUUGAAAGCACAGUCUUUUGUAGAAUUCUCUCAGCAGAUUUACAUUCCUCUUGUCUCAGUGGCCACAUACAUACCUAUCUAUGGCUACAAAGAAGUCUGGGAAGUUACUUACCUUGCAGAAGGGAUCAGGACAUCCAUGAUUGUCAUAUGUCAAUUAUGACUUAUCCCUUCCAGUUGUGCAUACAUUGUUGUCCCAAACAAAAUCAGAGUUCUGUAGGCAGUUAAUCGUACGUAUCAAGAUAUAAAAUUUCACAUCUCAUAGUUUUUGAAACUAGAAGUUCUUUAGCUAAAUAAAUGUAGAUUGUCUUCAAUUUUAUAAUUCUAAAGCUUCCUGGCUUUACCUGCUUCACUGUCUACUUUAUGUCCAUGAAAUUACAUGGCUGGAUCAUAAAACUAAGUGAAUAGGAGCCAAAAGUAUGCAGCUCCUCUUAGUUUAAUAUGGACAGUGGAACAAAUUGACAGGUUUCUCCUUUUGCUUCUCUGAACAUACUUUGAUCUGGUGAUGACCUAAGUCAUCAGUAUGUGACAUUUUGCACAGUAGACAUGGGGAUGCGGUUGGGCGGGCAGUGAUGCUGCUUCCAUGUGUGUGCAUGUGCAUAUAUGUUUAUAUACUUUUCACUGGUUGUUGGAACUGCAGUAUUACUUUUACUGGGUUUUGUUGGCCUUCUCAGGGACUUAAAUUUUGAUAUUUGAAUUUGGGUAGGAUCAUACUCUUAGGAAUUUCCAUUCACAAUUGUAAAAUAGAAAGUUUGUAUUUUGAUGCAAAAUAUUGAGUACUCCUUACUAAGAGAGCUCACCUUAUGUAUGACCAUACUAAGAAUAGCCAUGUUAGACACUGUAGCAUCUGUUGCCGCAUCACACCACCUCUGGUACCAAGUCAUUCAGCAAACACUUACUGAGCCCCAGCUGUGAAUAACCCACAGAGAAGACAGAGAAUUUGAUUACAUGUUUUCUCCAAGGAAUGUCUGUCUUCUUGGCUUGCAUUUCCCAAAGAGAAUUAAUGGGUGUUAAUUAAUAAAAGAAUGAGGUUGUCAAAUACACUUAGGAAAUGCUUAGUUAACCAAAGGUAAACAGGACUUUUCAGAGUCCUUAAUAUGCUAACAUAUAGGGGCGCCUGAGUGGCUCAGUCAGUUAAGCGUCUGCCUUCAGCUCAGGUCAUGGUCCCAGGGUGCUGGGAUCGAGUUCUGCAUGGGCUCCCUGCUCCACGGGAAGCCUGCCUCUCCCUCUCCCACUCCCCUUGCUUGUGUUCCCUCUCUCGCUGUGUCUGUCUCUCAAAUAAAGAAAUAAAAUCUUUAAAAAAAAAUAUGCUAACAUAUAUGCAGAUCUCCAGGGAGGUGACUGUUCUAGAAUGCAGCUCUUUCCAAACUCCUUCCCACUCUUCUUUCCCAUCUAGCUGUGAGAGACAUUCUUUAGAACAUGCUGUAGGAAGAAGCUAAGAGGACAAUCCUGAAAUUCAGGGUUAUUAUUAGUGCACUAUUAUUUUAGCAACAUUUGAUUCUUGCAGGGUUCUUUGAAUAUUUAACUGUCUUUUAUGCCAACUUUAAGGAAAUUAAGUAAAGAAAAAUUUCUUCAUCAUUUAAAAUGUUUCUUUUGGUAUUUAUUGCUUUCAAAAAGUUGACUUAUGCCUGGGCUCUUGGGAUACAGCUCUAUCACUAGCUGAGGACUACCUGUUUAAGCAUAUACCAGGGAAAAAGUUAGACUUUGUCCUAUGCUAAACAGUACUAUGAUAAGCUUUACAUCACUUAAAAUCCUACUGAAAUUAUACAACACUACAGGUUAACCCCUGGUUCAAAGAAGAAAUCAAAAGGGGAAUUUUAAACUAUGUAGAAAGGAAAGGAAAGGAGACUUUUAUACCAAAAUGCAGUAAAUCCUUUACUCAAAUAAAAAUUUAUAAUCUUAAAUUCCUUCUGUACUAAAGAAAAAGGACAAUGAAGGAACUUGGCACUUAGGAGAAAUUAGAAAAAGAACAAGAAAAAAGAAGCUGGGAAAUAAAAAGCAGAAAUUAAUGAAAUAAGCAAAAAAACCCCAAAAAACCAUAGAAGGAAUAAACAAACCAAAUGCUGAUUCUUUGAAAAGCAUCCAACUAACAAAAAAGAGGUAAUUCAUAAGCCUUGAUUCCCUUAUUAGGUUAAAAAAAUACUAGCAAAAAUAUACAAGAUAAGGAAUGAGAAAGGAGACAUAAACAAAGGUACUGGAUAUACUAAAAGAAUUUUGAGAAACUAGUGCAUGCCAACCUAUGACAAAGAAAAAAGCUAGAGUAAAUUGUUUUCCCAGCAAAAUUAUCCCAAGAUGUAGAAAACUUGAGUAAAUUGAUUUCCUUAAAAGAGACUAAGAAGUUAUUAAAGAUUGACGAGAAGCAGAGGCAUUCAUAGCUGAAUAUGAUCUUAUUUUUAAAAGCAGAUAAAUCCAGUUAUUUAAAUAAUCCAAACAUCCAUAAAGGUGGAAAUCUGUCAGAAUCCUUUAGAGAAGCCAGCAGUAUAUCAUUAAUGCAAAUUCUGUUAAAGACACAGUUCAAAAAUAGAAAACUAGCACUAAUUUCACUUGUGACAAUAGAUGAACAAUUCUGAUUAAGGUAUUAGUAAAUUAACUUCAGAAAUGAAGCUAUAAUAAACAAAGUAGGUUUUAUUCUAGGAAUGCAAAAAUGAUUCAGUAUUGGGGAAAUCUAUUUACAUCAUCCACAGACUAAAAAUGUUACAUGAAAAACAUGUUACUUUAUAACCAGUAGGUAUUGAAAAGGCAUUUGAUCCUUCUCUUCCCAUCUGACAUGGCAACCAGCCUCCUUCCUCUCCAGCUCUGGCUUCCUUUUUCCAUCUAGCCAGCCUGAGCGCUUCCCCUGUUCUUCAGGUUGGCCCUAUAGCCUCUGGUCCCUAGAGUCCCUGUGCUUUCUCCUUUCUUGGGGCUUAGGUCCUCACCCUACCCCGCUAUGAAUGAGGAGUAUGCAGUGCUCCUACUGGGCACAAGCCUGACUGAAUAUAUCCUGUCAAGUAUAAUAUCAGUGAAUGGAAAGAAAGUUCUUCACAUGGAUAGAAACUCAUACUAUGGAGGAGAAAGUUCAUCUAUAACACCUCUGGAAGAUUUAUACAAAAGAUUUUAAAUACCAGGAGCACCACUACCAUCAAUGGGGAGAGGAAGAGACUGGAAUGUUGGCUUAAUUCCCAAGUUCCUUAUGGUCAAUGGUCAACUGGUUAAGGUGCUGCUUUAUACAAAGGUCACUUGCUAUCUGAUUUUCAAAGGACUGAAGGGAGCUUUGUCUGUAAGGGAGGAAAAAUCUACAAGGUUCCUUCCAUUGAAGCAGAAGCCCUGGCAUCUAGCUUAAUGGGACUAUUUGAAAAAUGUCGCUUUAGAAAAUUCCUAGUGUGUGUUGCCAGCUUUGAUGAAAACGAUCCCUGAACUUUUGAGGGCAUUGAUCCUAAGAAGACUGCAAUUCGGGAGGUGUACAAGAAAUUUGACUUGGGACAAGAUGUCAUGGGUUUUGCUGGCUAUGCCCUGGCAUUUUUUAGAACAGAUGACUAUUUAGAUAAACCAUGUUGUGAAACCAUUAAUAGGAUUAAACUUUACAACAAGUCUCUGGCAAGAUAUGGCAAAAGCACAUACCUUUAUCUACUCUAUGGUCUUAGAGAACUUAGCCUGGGAUUUGCAGGGCUAAGUGCUAUUUAUGGUGGUACGUACAUGCUCAAUAAACCGAUUGAAGAAAUCAUUGUGCAGAAUGGAAGAGUGAUUGGUGUGAAAUCUGAAGGACAGGUUCCUUACUGUAAGCAGCUCAUUUGUGAUCCCAGCUAUGUAAAAGACCAGGUAGGAAAAGUGGGCCAGGUGAUCAGUUAUCUGCAUCCUCAGCCCACCCCAUCAAGAACACCAAUGAUGCCAACUCCUGCCAGAUCAUCAUUCCCCAGAACUAAGUCAGUCAGAAGUCAGAUAUCUAUGUCUGCCUGAGCUCCUCUGUACACAGUAUGGAAGCACAAGGGAAGUAUAUCGCCAUAGUACAACUGUGGAAGCCAAGGAACCAGAGAAAGAAAUCAGACCAGCUUUGCAGCUUUUGGAACUGACUGAACAGAAAUUUGUUAGCAUUAGUGACCACCUUGUACCAAAAGGCUUGGGAACAGAAAGCUAGAUCUUUAUUUCCUGCACAUGCAAUGCUACAACUCACUCUGUAAGAGGAUGACCGAAUCUGAGUUUGACUCUGAGGAAAUGAACAUAAGAAAAAUAACAUCUAUGGAGAAAACUAACAGCAGUACAUUUUAUUAUCUAAUUAGGACAAACUUAACUUUUGGCAAAUGAUGUAUACUGUAUAAAAUCAAUAUUAUUGAUCCCAGGGUCCUGGGAUGGAGUCCCACAUUGGGCUCCCUGCUCAGCAGGGAGUCUGCUCCUCCAUCUCCCUCUGCCCCUCCCCCGGCUUGUGCUCUCUCUUGCUUACACUCUGUGUCAAAUAAAUUAAAAAAUUUUUUUUUGAAAUCAGUUUUUAUAAGGCCUGCUUUUGUAAUCAAAACUGAGAUUGCCGAGCACUGUACCAGUAAAUAUUCCUUCCCUUUCUAACAUCAUGUAUUAACUUGUUUUCAUGGAGUGGCUAUUCAAAAUUGGCAGGUUACCAUAUUCUGUUCAGUUUAACCAAUACUGGCUUUUUUUCCCCCAGUGAAGGAUCAGUUUUAAAAAAACAUUGUGACACUGAUACAGAGCACUUGGUACAGUAUUUGUAUCUUUUAAUCAGUGUAGCCUUUGCAGUCCUGUGCUCCUGCUGUUCAAGAGCUGGAUCAGUACAAUUUUUCAUGCCACUGUCCUCUUGACAUUAAAGAAAUUAGGAAUUGAAUAUUCCACAAUUUGGGAAAGAAUCCCUACAUUUUCCCUACACCUUUACAUUUUGUGUCCUGUCAGGUAUUAUGAGUGUCCAUGUAACACAGCUAUAAGAUGGGGUUAUGUGGGCCUAAAAUUCUAACCCAACUCCAGACUAUGAGAGUCAUUUUGGAGGAAGCCUGUGUGCAAUGUUUUAACCUUAUAAAAUCGAUGAGAGCGAAGAGAAAGAAACCUAUCAUAAACCAAGUAAAUGUAGAAGCUUCUUUUGUUUUCUAGAUGUGGCUUCUUCAAUGGACCAAGCUAUAUUACGGUAUUUGACAAAGCCUCCACUUCAAUGAUGUCUGUCUCAAAAUGGCCCCAAAUGAUUUUUUUUUAAGGUUUUAUUUAUUUAUUUGACAGAGAGAGAGAGAGAGCACAAUCAGGUGGAGUAGCAGGCGGGUGGGGCAGGCCCCCCGCUGAGCAGGGAGCCCGAUGCGGGACUCGAAUUCAGGACCCUGGGAUCAUGACCUGAGCUGAAGGCAGUCACUUAACUAACUGAGCCACCCAGGCGCCCCUGCAAAUGAUUUCUGUACUGCAAAAUAAAGCCAAACUCUGGAAACAAAAAAAAAAAAGGAAAAGAAUAGGCAUUUGAUCAAGUUUAGGAGUUUCCUAAUAAAAAUUCUAGAUAUACAGGAUAAUAGAAAAAACUAAAUAAAAUAAGAAUUCUAAUUAGAAUAAAAAGGGGCAUCUGGAUGGCUUAGUCAUUUUGGUGUCUGGCUCUUGAUUUUGGCUCAGGUCAUGAUCUCAGAGUUGUGAGAUCGAGCCCCGAGUCUUGCUCCACGCUGGGCAUGGACCUGCUUAAGAUUCUCUCUCUCUCUCGGGACACCUGGGUGGCUCAGUUGGUUAAGCAUCUGCCUUCAGCUCAGGUCGUGGUCCCAGGGUCCUGGGAUCGAGUCCCACGUCGGGCUCCUUGCUCAGCAGGAGGCCUGCUUCUCCCUCUGCCUGCAGUUCCCCCCUGCUUGUGUUCUCUUUCUCUAAGAAAACCUUAAAAAAAAAAGAUUCUCUCUAUCUCUCCCCCUCUCCAGCGCCCCCCCCCAUGCUUGCACUCUCUCUAAAAAAAUAAAUAAAUAAAGAUAAAACAGAAUAAAAGCACAAAUACUAUACAGGUGUAAAAAUGUAUGAACUAAAUUUACAUAUAUCAGUAAGGAUAAGUCUCAAAAACAUCUCAAGCAAAUUACAGAUGGAUGUGUGUGGUACAAUACUAUUUACAUAAAGCAUGAAUUAAUGCAAAACAGUACUACAUAGUGCUUUUGAAUACAUUUAUAGCAAGAAUAUAAAAUCAGACACUUGAAAUGACAAAAAAUAGUUUCUGAGGAUGUAUGAAAGGAUUUUUUUUUUUUGCAUCACUGUGCAUAGAACAAAAACAAAGGAAGCGUAAUUUUAAAAUUACCCAUUGUGUAGCUAUUAAAAAGAAUAAAUGAGGAUUAUAUGAAUUGCAGGGAUUUCUAUAAGAUAUACUGCUGAGAAAAGAAUUACUAUUAAUAAUUUCAUUAUUUUAAAAAGUCUCACCAAUCCCUAUAAAUGUACACAUACAAGUAUGUGUUUCUAUAUGAUUAUAUGAACACGGGGAAAAAAGCAUGGAAGGCUGCAUACUAAAUCAUUACUGUGACUUAUCCUGGAGUGGGGUGGAGGAGAGGAGUAAAAGAGAAGAGGGAGCCAAAUUAAAAAGGGUGGGGCUAAUGAGACUACAAUUAAAAACUUUACACUGUGUCAUUUAUGUAUUUCUGUGAAAUAAUGUAUGUGUAAAAGGAAACUUCAAAAAAGAAUAUAUAAUACAUAAAAAUUUUUUUUGUGUAUGUGUAUAAAAUGAUUUUGUUAAAAAGGUGAUAAGACCCUGAUGUCAUUGAGCAUAUCCAUUCAUAUUAGUGACUCUUCUACUCUAAUCUCUCCAAAACAAGCUGAUUUUGAUUUUGAUGUUUGGCUUUCCACAUAGUGCGACUCCAAGGAGAAAACUCACUGGUCAGUACUAUACAAAUAACCUACCCUAUAGAUGUAAAAUAUCAUUGUAAACAAAUAGGAUGAUAGUCUAAUAGAUUUUUCUUUUUAAGGAAGUGAGGAAGAGAGAAAGCCAACCUAUCAGAUCCUCCUGGAAUGGGGGCUUUAGGAACCCAAUGCUAUCUACUCAUCUGUUCCCAAGCCCACAAACUGCUCAGAGUGUAUACAGGGCAUGAGUUUCCUGGGUCACAGAACAUUACAGUAAUCCUCUGCUGCAAAACUUGGGACCCGCUAGUUCUAUAAACUUGACGUAUAACUCCAGUCAGUUCAUCACUGAGGUCUGCUUUACCAAUAUCUGUUCCUAGGUAAGCCCUAUGAACAAGGGGCCUGUUAUGAGCAAAGUCAGUGGUAUCUUCCAUUUGCAUUGUGCUCAAACUGCCUUCAGUUACUUUUACUUCCCACAAUAGAUCUUGUCUUUUCUGGUCUUCACGCGCUUGCACAUGCUUUUUCCUUUGGCUAGAAACUUUUCUAGGCUGGAAAAGGUGCCUUUCCAUGUCCCUGUUGCACACUGCACGCCCCUUUAUGUGUUUGCCUCCCUCACUUGAACUACCAGCUACGCAAGAGCAGCCAGUGUGUAUGUCUUCAUUGUAGAAUCUCCACACUCAACCUGGCACAUACUGGUUAAAUAAAUUUUAAAAUGUCUUAUGAAUCUUCCUCCACAAUGUUAUAAAAGUUCUUCCUGCCACCUUAUCUCAACUAAGAUUUUGACAACCUUCCUUCUAAUCCAGCAGCUUAAUAUGAGGAUUGGAAACUGGCAACCUUCUUGUUCACCACCACCCUUUUUAUUUUGCUGUCAUUCAGUUACCUCUCUUUAACCUGUCUAAACUUUAAUUUGUUCAUCUAAUAAAAUGGAACUCAUGAUACUACUACCUAAUUCAAGGUUGAUGGUAUGAUGUUCAGUGUUCACAUUGCAGCACGAUGUUCUAUGUGAACAUUGAUAGAGUGUAUACAGAGUUCUCAUCUCAAGGCCAGUCAUUUGUACCUUCUUUUCUUGCCAUUAAGUUUGCUCCUCUUUCACAGUAGCUUUAGCCCCAGGCUCCUUUACCUGUGUAUCCUUUGGAAAUUAUCAUUGGCCGUUUCAAAGGUACUCUUGCUAACUUCUAGACUACUCCUUGACUUUUGGCUUUGCUGUCCUUGCUCAUUCCUAGCUUUUGGUAACUUUCACCAGAAGCUUUACUUUCUUCCACUUUCUAGCUGCUAGGGAAAAUCACAAAGCUGAUUCAGCACAGGCUGUGCCAAUUUUGCUGGGGUGACUAAGAGAAUCUUUCUGAUAGCAUGGCAGUCUUUUGUUCUUUAAAAAAGUGGAUUCUUGACCCAGGAAUUAUCUGCAGAACUUUUGAAACUACUGAUGUCUGGAUCCCACUUUUCAGUCCUAAGGAGGAGAUUUGCAAGGUGUGGGGACUGAACACACCUAUUUUUUAAAAACUUUGGUUGUUCUUUGGGAAACUAGACUUAAGAACCCUAUUUAAUUAAGUUCCUGGCAACAGCUGUUUUAUAUGCUUUCCCUGUCUUCAAGCCCCUUAAAAUUACUCUGUACAAAGCUUAAUUUCCCCUUCAAACUAGAGCAUUCUACUGACUUCCCAAUUUCUUUUAUUGCUCCAUCAUUCUCCCAUACACUAGCUCAGAAUCCUGGUAUUGUUUCUGACUCUUGUCUCUUCCUUACCUCUAGUCAUCCAGGUCAUUUGUCUCCUUUCCUUGCUCCUGCUUGUUUCUCCUUUGUCAACGUAGAGCAUCAUACUACCUCUCCACUUCUGGCCACCAUACGCUGACAACCCACUAUCUCCAGAAUAUUCUCCUGUUACAGCUUUGUUAUUCUCCUGCUUUUAGAAGGCUGUACCAUACUGCAGAAUAAAGUCUGAAAUGCUUAGUUGUAUGCUUGAGGCCCUCAAAAAUGUGGACUCAGUUCAAACUUUUGAUUUUGUUUCCCAUUCCUUUCCUUAAUAUAUGUUAAGCUGUUAAACUAGAUUAGAGGUAAGAUGGUGUAUAGAAAAGAUUCUUUUGAAUCCUAGCAUUGCCAGUUGCCAAGGGUAUGAUCUCAGGCAAGUUACUUUAGCCUCUUUGACCUUGUCUUAUCUGUCUCAUCUGUAAAAUAAGACAUAAAAACGACUAUUUAGAUGGUUUGUCAUAAGUAGUUAACAUAUAUAGUGUGAUUAGUGUCAGGCCUGGCACCUAGAAGGCCUUGAAAUAUAUUUUUUACCUGUUCUCUCCAGUCUUCCUCCAGCUGCCCUCCUAAGAUGUGCACUCUCUUAUAGUCUUCUCUUUCUGUUUCUUUGCUUAUGCCAUUCUCUCAGCCUUUCCUUCCAUUUCCAGCAUUUGAAAUCUUACUCUUUUUUUUUACCCUCUUUAUAAAUCCUUCCCCUGCCCUUGUCCAUUCCAAAUUCCCAUAGUGUUUUGUACGUUUUGUAGCAUUUGUGAAAAAUUUCCUCCUUUGUUGUUAUGUUAGAUAUUUCUUGUUCUCUCUACAAAAUAAAUUGAAAUCUCCUCAAGGACAAGGACCUAGUCAUAAUCAUCUUGGUUUUCUUCAUCUUUACCAGCAUACUGCUUUGUAGCCAGCAGGUUCUCAGUGAAUAUUUAGCAAGCAGGUAAACCAAAGAACCACUACUCCUUGUGCAUAAAUCGAAAAAUAAGCUAACAAGCAGUAUUGCUCCAUUGUAUGCUAGAGAAAUAAAGUAGCAAAUGAAUUCACAUACCUAGAGAAAGGAUUCCUCCCACUGAAUAAAUAGCUAGGAACAGGAUUCCUGGGAGAAAUAGCUAAUUCUGAGUCUAGGCAGGAAAUGUACAGGUUGAGCCUAGAAGAUUUUGUCAUAGUAUAUAUAAAGCAAUGAAGCUAUCUAAGACCGCUAGGGUUCUGUCAGAAAACUCACGAAUUAACAUGAAGUUCUAGUUGAUCAAAGAUGAGACAGUUUGAGGAUCAAUAAAAACAACAGCAGUGGAUUGAAAUAUAUCAACUGUGCUUAAAUCCAUGAACUUAAAUGAUACUAAAAUGAAAACAAAAAGAUUUGAUCACCCUUGGAAGAACCUAGAUAAACCAUCCUGAAAACAUGUAAGUAAAGGGAAAGAAUAAAGCAUUUAUGCUACCUUUCCUGGAGGGAAUUAUUCCUGACAUAAACAAGUAGUUGAGGAGGGAAAGCUUUUUAUUACUGAACUCCAGCUCAUAAAUGAAGACAAUGAUAGAAUAUCAAUACAAAAACAUUUUUUUAGAAUUAAAAUGUAUUUGUCUAUUCAUUUAACUUUUCCUGCCUCUUUUCUGACUUUAAAAAAAGAAAAGGGGGGGCACCUGCUUGGCUCAGUUGGUUAGGUGUCUGCCUUUGGCUCACGUCAUGAUCAUGAUCCCAGAGUCCUGGGAUCGAGCCCCGCAUCGGGCUCCCUGCUCAGCAGGGAGUCUGCUUCUCCCUCUGCCCCUACCCCCUGCUCAUGCUCUUUCUCUCUCUCUCUCAAAUAAAUAAAUAAAAUAUUUAAAAAAAAGAAAAGGUCUUUAAGGAGCGCUUGGGUGGCUCAGUCAGUUAAGCAUCCAACUCUUGAUCUCAGCUCAGGUCUUUGAUCUCAGGGUCCUGAAUUCAAGCCCCACACUGGGUUUCAUGCUGGGUGAGGAGCCUACUUAAAAGAAAAUCGGGGCAGCUGGGUGGAUCAGUCAGUUAAAUGUCUGCCUUUGGCUCAGGUCAUGAUCUCAAGGUCCUGGGAUCAAGCCCUGGGUCGGGCUCCCUGCUCAGUGGAGAGUCUGCUUUUCCCUCUGCCUCUUCCCUUGCUCAUGCUCUCUCUCUCAUAAAUAAAAUCUUUCUAAAAAAUUUUAAAAAUCUUUGAAUCAAAAGCUUUAUGAAACGAAAAAUUCAGGGAUGAAAGUUUGGUAACUCUUUUAUCUUAGAUUGCAGUCAAAAGACAAUUAAGCAAAUAAUUCCCCAGUUUGGAAAUGUUAACACCUCUCAUUUAGGUCUUGGUUUUUUAGAUGUUUCUUGUGCUUUUAUGGUCUUACUCAUUAUACUUCCUAUUACUGCCAGUCAUUUCAAGGGAUCCUUCAAACUACUCAAAUAUAGAGUAGUGUUGACCUUCCGACUCAAUGCAGGAACAGAGAUAGAACCAGACUGCGACAUACCCCAGAAGUUUCAGUCUCCCAGUCCAGGGCCUUAAAUAGCUUUUAAGCUAAUCACAGUGAACAUGGGUCCUUUAAGUAGUGUUUAUAUGAAUAGGCAAUAGAAAAGACUGACUUCAUACCAUGAAGUAAAUAUAUUAACUCAAAAGCAAAAUAAAUAACCUGUAUAAGAUAAUAGAGGGAAAAAAAACAAAAAUGACAGCUUGGGUAGUCUUCAUUUUUAUUUUUAAUAAAGUCUCAUAACUAUAAUUGCAGAUUUUUCUCCACAGAUACCUUGUUUUUUUGAUUCAGACAUACCUGUUCUUAAUGUGUAAACAUUUCUGAAAUUUGCAUGUAGCUUACCAUGCAUGUGUACAGGUUUCCUUGCUGUCAGAAAGUAGAUCAUUCCUAUGAAACCUUUUUUUUUUUUUUAAGUAGGUGCCAUGCCCAGCAUGGAGCCCAACGCAGGGGCUCAAACUCAACGACCGUGAGAUUGAGACCUGAGCUGAAAUCAAAAGUCUGAUGCUCAACCGACUGAGCCACCCAGGUGCCCCCUAUGCAACCUUUUAAAAUUGGUGUAAAGUGAAGAAACAAUUACCAUUAAUUUAUAUGGAAAAUUUUUUUAGAGUUCCCAGACCCAAAAAGUCACCUCUCUUAGGCUUUUCUGAUACCUAAGGACAUAUCUUGCUAAUGGAUACACAAAAUAGAUCAAAAUAAAGCACAGAUGCUCACAAACACAGUUCAAAGCCAUAGCGGCUGGAUGCUGAGAUGCUGAGUGCAAUUUGUUGAGGAGGAAUUUGGCGGGGCCACUCUUAAUGCCUUUGUAACAGCUUGCGGCAAAACACACUGAAUGCUAUUUGCACUUUUCACCUUUUUUCAUAAUAAGCAAAAAUCCUCUUCGGAUUUCUUCUGGUUAGAAAAACAGGUACUAAUGUAGGUCUUUCAUAAAAGUGAAGUGAUGUAAUAUAAAUUUUUAAAAAGCAAAGUGGGGGGCACCUGGGUAGCUCAGUUGGUUAAGCCUCCGACUCUUGAUUUCAGCUUAGGUCAUGAUCUCAGGGUCUUGAGAUCGAGACACAUCUGUGCUAGGUGUGGAGCCUGCUUAAGAUUUUCUCUCUUCCUCUCCCUUUGCCCCUCCCCCUCUCACGCUAUCUCUCUUUAAAAAAAAAAAAAAAAGCGAAGGGUACCUGUAUUUAAUGAGGCAGUGAUCCUACAGCCUUCUUACCCUGCCCAAGAAACUUAUAAAUUGUGUGUUUUACAAUCAAUUUUGUCUUUGAGUCUUGGAAAUAUGGUAAAUAAUGUUUCUGGGUAAAUUUUGAGAGCAAAAUUUGUUUACAGAGUGACUCAGAAUAUUUGAGAGCAGUAUUUUCCAAAGCAUUUUUUUCAUAACACCGUAUGUAUCAUGUAUAUAAUAUGGUACUAUCAGUUCCUGUGUUAGUGUUCUGAAAACGGGACAGAGAUGCUCAGUGGUUAAACAAGUUUGGAAAAUGCAUCUUACUUUUAGAGCCUCAUGAUGGAUAAAAAGUCCAUUAGGCUCUGAGAAAGACUGGUUUAAAAAAUCAAAACUCUUUCAAAAAUCUCUUUGAACCAAGUAUUUUCCAAACUUUUCUGACCCCCAAAUCCUUUUUUUGUUAACACUUGCUAGCACUCCAUUUUGGAAAAUACUGCAAAGUAUUAGAACAAAACCUUUUUAUCAGGUCAUUUUAAAUACUUGCCCAUUGCAAAUUAAAAAGACAGCUAAUAAUUCUCUGCAUCUGUGUAUCUAGUUGUCACAAGAACCUUUUCAAAGGCAGGGCUGGCUAGACUAGAUUGUCAGCUUAAAGCUGUGGUCUUUAACUGCCUUCAGUAGUACAGCAACCUGUGCUUCCCAGUCAGUAUUAGCCCUUGAUUCAUUUCACAGAUUUGUACAUCAGUCCAGUUGCUGGACUUUGGAGUCAUAUAUCUGAGCAAUGGAAAUCCUGGUGUAAUAUAUCACAGCUUGUCCAUUCUGGCACUGCAGUUUUAUUCUGUAACUCACUGCACCUACUUUUUUAGACUUUAUUAUCAAUUUAAAUAUAUUGGUCAAGUGUCAGAACUGCUGGAUCUUCUUGUACUGUUCUCCUGUAUUUAUUAUAGCAUAUUUAUAGUAAAUCUCUGGGGGAGUCAUAGAGCUGGGAUAAAUCUGCCCCUUCCCUGUGUUCUACUGGGGAAAGGAGGGAGUUAGGUAGUUCUUACAAGUGUAGGUGAACCCUACUGUCCUCAAAGUAAAAGACGUCUUCACCGGGCGCCUGGGUGGCUCAGUCGUUGAGCGUCUGCCUUCGGCUCAGGUCAUGAUCCCAGGGUCCCGGGAUCGAGUCCUACAUCGGGCUCCCUGCUCUGCGGGAGGCCUGCUUCUCCCUCUCCCACUACCCCUGCUUGUGUUCCCUCUCUCACUGUCUCUCUCUCUGUUGAAAAAUAAAUAAAAUCUUUAAAAAAAAAAAAA